CUACACAGAAAGAGUAUAGAAAAACUAUACCAGCGAUCGUAAAUAUAUCUCCGACAAGUCGGAACUCGCAAAAACUUGAAUACCUAGAAAUUAAACCAAAGUGAGUCAUAAAUCCGUCAAACCGCGGGUGUUCCCGAUAACACUGACCAACUGAAUUUACUACCUGCUGUGAGCGAAAAAUUGAAUAUUAUAGACAUGAAUCUAUUCUUUUCUAUCUCCUUCCUAAUGAUCGCUGAGUAAGCCACUGAGAUAUUGAAAACAAAAAUGGCUGUCAUGGUCGACGGGAAACUUAAGACUCAAGUUUGAAGGCCAAAAUAAUUUUUUAAAUCAUUACAAUUAUUUAUUAUUCCCUAUUUUUACGUUUUGAAAAUUUUUUUAAUUGCUCGUUACUAAUUUCUUUAAUUGUUAAAAUUUAAAAAAUGUAAUAACAGUAAUUAUUUUAUGGUGAACUGUAAUGUUGAUUACUUAGACUGGUAGUGAAGGUGAAAUUUUCUCGUGGAUUAAAUAUUUGAUCGGUGGAUGAAAGGAUGGAAGUGAUAAUAGAGAUGUAAUUAAAUUAUAUUGAUUUGAAAAUUGAUUCGGAAAGAGAGUUUAAUUUUUAAAACCAGCCGAGUAGAGGGAGUAUAAAAACAAGGUCAGCUAGACCCUAUUCCUCACGGGAUUCUGGCACGCAUGGAAUGCACGGUGUUGAAGAUAAAAAAAAUUUAUAAAUGAAAAAAAUAAAGGAGAUGCGAAACCACUUGAGAUCUUUGCUACUUCCUCGUUCUCGGCCCCGUUUCAUUAUCAAAUUCAUAAUAGCCAUAGUACCUUACUCAAUAAUAUACUUCAGUUAAAUAUUUUUUUUUGUGGCUCCAUAGUAGAUUGUAAAAUCGCGCGGUCAUUUUUUACUUUUGAUUUAUUUUUUAGAAUCUCCCGAUUAUGAAGUUUGGCAUUGAAAGUUUAAUAAAUUAUUUUUCAAAGCUGGGGAAUCUCAAAUUUUAAAGAAAUUGUUUUCUAAUUGCGCGGGUCAAAAAAACUUGACCUACUUAAUUUCGAUUUAGAAAAAAAAAAUAUAAUUUAAAUUCUUUUUUUUUGGCCCGGGUUGUGUUGGAAUUUAUUUCAAGUGAAAUUUUUUUUUUUUUUACUAAAAUUGGGUAUCAAAUUAAAGCUUAUGAUCGACGGAUUCUUGUAAUAUUUUUUACAAUAGAUUUUGAAUUAUUUAAUUUGUAAAAAAAAGCUAUGAGACUGGAAAUUUCAGUUUUUGAAAAAAAAAAAAAACUCUUUAAAAAAUUAUGAAUGUCGGUUAAUUAAAAAAAAAAAAAUUUAUGAGCCCAGAGGAGGUAAUAAAAAAUAUUUUGAUCUGUAUUUCAAGAUUGAUUUAAUUUUUAAAAGCUAAAAUAAAUUUGACAACUAAUAAGGAGAGUUAUGAGUCAGUUUGAUCACUAAACGUUAAAAUUAAAGUAAUUAAUAUUUGUUGAUUAAUUACUUUUGAUAUUAAAACUUGUAAAUGAUGUUAUAAUCCGAGUAAUAAAAUAAUAAUAAUAAAAAUUUGCGGCGUAA